GGGGGGAUGCCCGAGUGGUUAAAGGGGGCAGACUGUAAAUCUGUUGCCAGACGGCUACACUGGUUCGAAUCCAGUUCCCCCCACCA
rnacentral:tRNA from 1 species